ensembl:lncRNA
UUUUUUCUUUGGGCCGUUGAAAAUAUUAUUCCAUCUUUUUCUUCUUUCAUUAUAGUUGAAAAAUCUGUGUCUAAAAUGUUCCUAUUUUCUUUUGGAUUGCUUUUAAUAGUUUCCUCAUAUUUCUGGGUUUCAUUACAGUGUGUCUAAGUGAAGGUUUAAUUUUAUAUUCCUUGCUUAGGAUUCAUUGUGUUUCUUUAAUCUGAGGGUUCGUCUUUGAUCAAUUUUGGAAAAAAAUAUUUAGUUAUUUCUUUUAUUUCCUUUAUUUUUCUCCAUCUAAAAUUCCCAUUAGAUAUAAUUGAAACUUUUCAUUCUUUCAUUCAUCUCCCUUAACGUCUCUUUGUGUGUUUCAUUUCCCCAUUCUAUUGUAUUAUGGUAAUUUCCUCAGCUCCAUCUUCUAGCUUACCAAUUUUUUUUUUUUUUGCAAAUGUGCCUAUUCUGCUUUUUACCAGUCUUAAUUUAUUCUUUAAAUAACAAUAUUUGCCAAUUCUAAAAGUUCAAUUUGCUCAAAUCUACUUUUCCUUCAGGGACUUGUUGUCUCUUGAGUAUAACUUUACUUUAAAAAAUACCCUCUAUUUAUUUUUAUUUUAUUUUAUUUUUUUGUUUUUUUGCCAUUUCUUGGGCCGCUCCCACGGCAUAUGGAGGUUCCCAGGCCAAGGGUGCGGCCCUAAAAAAAAGGCAAAAAAAAAUUAUUUAUUAUGGGUUUGUACCGUGUCUUUGGGUACCUUUUGGUCUUUGAGGCCAUGGACAAAUGUAAAUAUUACAUUUUCAAUCUGUUUUUCACUGGCUUCCUGCAUAGUUUUGUCCUACAAGGAACUAACUCCCUAGGGUUUCUUUAGCUUUGGAAACUGGUGUAGGUCUGACCAAGGCCUAGGGUGGAGAGAAAUGGGAUACAGACAGAAGGCAAGAAUGUACGCAAAAAUGGAAACCAGAUGCAUUGCUUGAUCAGGUUACAUGUGCUACUUCAUCCUGAAUAAAGAGUAGAGGAGGGCCAUGACUCCGCUUGACUCUGUAUGAGAUACGUACAAACGCCCCCAACUUUUAUUGUUUUUAUUUUUUUAGCAACAACCUGAUUGAUUGUCCUUUCUUACAGUUUGGAGGAGCAGGGGAUAGCAAAGGAAACACACUUCUCUGCUCAAAGAUCUCAUGUUCUAACAAAUAAAUAACUGAAUGUCCCUUAUGGCUGAAGAUAAUGACAUUAAGGCAAAUCAAGUCUUCAUCUAGAAUUUAUCCAGGAUUAAUUCUAAAUGGAUUUUUUUCUUUUUUUACAGUUUCCAAAUUUGCCAUAAGUUCAUGCACUGUCAGAAUGGAUUUUCAUCUUUAUAUGAGGAAAUUAAAGCUCAUAGAAAAGUAUGUUUGAAUCAAAGGUUUGGUUUUCAUAUUUUUAUCUCUCUGGACUUUCUAUUGCAAAUGACUUGAUUUCUUUACUUGUGUGAACGAAACUUCCUGGUUCUUUUAGUGUUUAUUUCAAGCUGUUUCCAGAGCAGAUAAUAUUGUCAACAUUGCCUUCAUUAUAUUCAUAAAAUACAGUUAUGAUCAAGUGAUAAAGGCAUUUUCAAGUUAAUAAGUAAUAUAUAAUUACAAGUAGGUGCCUUAUCUAGAAUUCCUCUUUCUUUUUUUUUGCCUAUUAAUAUAAACAAAAGCAAGCAGCCAGAUAAAGGCCUUUUCCCUUUGAGUAAGGAUCUAUAUAUCUGCUCCCUAGGAUGACACAAAACAUACGGUAACUAUAAACAUGAUAACUAAAGUAUAAACUAUAACAACUAAAUAAUACAUACAUACAAAUAGAUGGCAUAGAAAUUUUGUUUAGGCAGAUUAUACUUAAAAUACUUAGCAGGGCAUAGUGAAUCCUGGAAACCUUAAAACAUGAUUAGUUAACUGAAAUUUCAGAUAUAGAAUUAUCAGGUGUUUAGUCCUGUGCACUGAAAUUAAGGGCAAUGGGACUGCUCCUUGUGCAUUCAGUGGUUACAAGGGUGUACACAUCAAAAAAUUCAUUGAAAUGGAUGUAAGAUUUGUGCAUUUUACCUCAAAAAAACCCCCAAAAUAUAAACAAACUGCAAAAGACUAAAAAGAAAACAAACCAAAAAAACCUCCUGCGAUAUGCAAUCGGUCUUUUAAUUGUUUAUAAUUUCAGAUUUGCUGUUUUAAUUAAUGACUGAAACUUAAGAGUGGCGUGAAACACCUUUUGUUUCUCCUUCUAUUUAAUUACCUUCCAUAAGCUAAGUUUUUAAAAAAGAUUUUGUGAACUUCUCAUAAGGCGAGAAAGACUUUAACUUACCCAUUUGCGAGUAGGAUGGUGUAGUAAUUACGUCCAUAAUUUCUUACAAAACACGAGGUCAUCUGGGGUGGGGGUGGGGAAACGUCGCGAAAAUUUUUCUUUCACGUUCCUCUCUUCCGCGGCCUAAUAUUUUUGUGGGGUAUUUCAGGCCACGGUAUUCAGAUAGCAAAUGAGUUGCUGAACUAAAGAACCUCUCCCAAAGAUGCUGUGAUUCUAUUCUCCACCCUAGAUUCUCGAAAUUCACUUUUUCCCCGAAUGCCACUAGAGGGCGUUUGAAAAACCUAUCUAUAGCACAACUGAUAUAUAUUGGAUAUAUUUUAAAAACGGUUUGCCUUUGUGUUUUUUUCUCCCUGCAUGCUAAACUCACAUUCUCUGACAUCUAGUCUAGUUUCAGUCCAAUCGCGGGGCCGAGUUUCACUCAGUGGCAGGUCGGG